UGGGGAAUAUUGCACAAUGGGCGCAAGCCUGAUGCAGCCAUGCCGCGUGUAUGAAGAAGGCCUUCGGGUUGUAAAGUACUUUCAGCGGGGAGGAAGGGAGUAAAGUUAAUACCUUUGCUCAUUGACGUUACCCGCAGAAGAAGCACCGGCUAACUCCGUGCCAGCAGCCGCGGUAAUACGGAGGGUGCAAGCGUUAAUCGGAAUUACUGGGCGUAAAGCGCACGCAGGCGGUUUGUUAAGUCAGAUGUGAAAUCCCCGGGCUCAACCUGGGAACUGCAUCUGAUACUGGCAAGCUUGAGUCUCGUAGAGGGGGGUAGAAUUCCAGGUGUAGCGGUGAAAUGUGUAGAGAUCUGGAGGAAUACCGGUGGCGAAGGCGGCCCCCUGGACGAAGACUGACGCUCAGGUGCGAAAGCGUGGGGAGCAAACAGG
rnacentral:rRNA from 1 species